rnacentral:rRNA from 1 species
CAGCCGCCGCGGGAAUACGAAGGGUGCAAGCGUUACUCGGAUUUACUGGGCGUAAAGCGUGCGUAGGCGGCUUCUUAAGUCGGAUGUGAAAUCCCUGAGCUUAACUUAGGAAUUGCAUUCGAUACUGGGAAGCUAGAGUAUGGGAGAGGAUGGUAGAAUUCCAGGUGUAGCGGUGAAAUGCGUAGAGAUCUGGAGGAAUACCGAUGGCGAAGGCAGCCAUCUGGCCUAAUACUGACGCUGAGGUACGAAAGCAUGGGGAGCAAACAGGAUUAGAUACCCCCGUAGUCCAUGUCUCUUAUAC